CCAAUAGCGUAUAUUAAAGUUGUUGUGGUUAAAAAGCUCGUAGUUGAACCUUGGGCCUGGCUGGCCGGUCCGCCUCACCGCGUGUACUGGUCCGGCCGGGCCUUUCCCUCUGUGGAACCUCAUGCCCUUCACUGGGUGUGACGGGGAAGCAGGACUUUUACUGUGAAAAAAUUAGAGUGCUCCAAGCAGGCCUAUGCUCGAAUACAUUAGCAUGGAAUAAUAAAAUAGGACGUGCGGUUCUAUUUUGUUGGUUUCUAGGACCGCCGUAAUGAUUAAUAGGGACAGUCGGGGGCAUCAGUAUUCAAUUGUCAGAGGUGAAAUUCUUGGAUUUAUUGAAGACUAACUACUGCGAAAGCAUUUGCCAAGGAUGUUUUCAUUAAUCAGGAACGAAAGUUAGGGGAUCGAAGACGAUCAGAUACCGUCGUAGUCUUAACCAUAAACUAUGCCGACUAGGGAUCGGACGAUGUUAUUUUUUGACUCGUUCGGCAGCUUCCG
rnacentral:misc_RNA from 1 species